AGCGCGCACCUGCCGCGGCGAGCCGGGUGCGCGCGGGGGUCGGGCAGCGCCGGGGAUCGUCACUCGGAGUCGGCCACUCAGGGUCAGUCACCUGCCGAGGAUCGGUCAGCCGGGGUCAGUCACCCCUGGAGGGUCAGUCACCCCGAGUUCAUCCCCCUCACAGGGCCCGUCACCCCUAGGAGAGUCACUCACUCAGGGUCAGUCACCCGGGGUCCGUCACCUAGAGAGCAUCGGUCACCCGUGCAGGGCCCGUCAGUCACCCGGGGCCGGUCACUCGGGGUCAGUGUGCCGAGGCUGCGGCUGCGCUGCCCUGGCAGGGCAGGUGGAGGCGCGGCACGGUCCGAGCGCGGGCGGUGAGGGCCCGGGGCUGCCGGGCUGGCAGCGAGCACAGGGCCUGCGGCGGGGUGGGUGCGAGCAGCUCUCAGGUGUGGGAGGGAGGGGAUGCCGGCGGAAAGCUCAGAAUGCCCACGGGCACUGUGGAAGCUUAAGGAAAACGGGAUGGACCCUCAGCAUGUGUUUCUCGAGAUCCUCAGGCAGCGGGCAGUCGGGCAGUUUGCCUUUUAAAGUCUACAAAACCACGGUAUGGGCAAGGUUGGAAGAUAUCACAGCAGCUCAUUUGGUCCAACCUCCCUGCUGAAGAAGGGUCACCUGCGUGGCACAGCAUUGUGUGCAGACAGUUCUGGAGUGUCUCUAGGGAGGGAGAUUCCAUAACCUCUCUGGGCAGCCUGUCACUGGUCACAUGAGAAUAAAAUCUUCCCCGGCAGCCCCUGUUUGUCCAUGCGCUCAGGAAGCUUUGCCACAAGUGUUUCAGCUUCACAGUGGAUGACUCAGACUCUCCAGUUUCUCCCUCUCAAGCUGGGCUCUCAUGGCUUUGCUUGGCUUUGGUGGUCACCUCCCAACCAUGAGGAUGGGUUCUAUGCCACAACCAGUAGUUCCACAGUUUGGUAGCUGAGUUCUCUCAUAUUUGUGCCUCAAUGUUGACCUAGUUUGAACCUUCUUUACUUACAGGUGAAAUGUUUGCACAGCCUGUAUUUCUCUUCCCUAUUCAGGCUCAUAUUUCCUGUAAAGUUACUUCAAGUUGAUGUAGAUCCCAUCCUCAGCAGGAGGCAGGUCUGGUGUCAUGAAUCCCCAGCAUAUCCAGAUGCUGCCUGGGGCAGACAAGUUUUUGAGCUUCUCUGCUAGCUUUGCCAUCCUUGAUCACACCAUCGUACUCUGUCCCCCAGUUAAGACUUUUGUUUUUAACCCAUUUCAUGAGUUCUGUUACUACCUUCUUUCUUUUGAUGUAUGUGAAGACCUUUUUUACUACCAGUUUGAGCAUCCUUUGUAAGGUGUUCUUCAAAUUCUUUUCUAGUCCUCAUUUCCUGCUUUGAUGUGACCUGCAGUGUUUUACAGCUUUCUGCUCACUUUAUUUUGGUCUAGACGAGUUCUGCCCCUUCAUUAUCAAAGGAAUUGCCUUGGACAGAGAUCACACUAGAGCAUGUCACAAGAGGCUGUCAAACCACAAAUGUUUGUGAGUGUUAAACACAUAUUUAGGAAAGCUGGUACCUACUGAUGAAUAGCUGUGUCUGUGCAUUUUAAGUUUUUAUAUUGUUUUUUCUGCUUAAUUUAGCAAUGAAAUUUUCCUAGGAUUCGAAUAUAAUUUUUAAAUGCAAUUUCUAUCAUUGCUGUUUCAUGAUUAUCCCUGUUUCAAGUGUCAUAAAAUUGUAUCCUACAAACCCUGAUCAUGAAUAGCUGAUACAAAUGUGACCCGUAUUAUGAAAACUGGCACAGUUAAAUAUAUGGAAGAAAUUCUUUACUAUGAGGGUGUUGAGGCACUGGCACAUGUUGCCCUGAGAAGCUGUGGCUGCCACAUCCCUGGCAGUGUUCAAAGCCGGGUCCAGGCUGGAUGGGACUUUGAGCCACUUGGUCUAAUGGGAGGUGUCUCAUGACAGGGCAUUUGGAACUGGAUGAUCUUUAUAAGGUCCCUCCCAAACCAUUCAAUGAUCCUGUGAUUCAGCUGUUCCAAAUGGUAUUUUUUACAGAGUCAUAUGAUGUAUUACAGCCUUUUGAAAGACAGUUGUUCUCAAUAAUAUUUUUGUAAAUUCAGUCACUUUUAGUUUUUGUUAGCAUAUUGCCUAAAAAUUGAAGGAUGAGAAUCAUAAUAAUUUUAUUUCCUAAGAAGUUUGGAUUAAAUUAAAGAAUGUUCAGCUGUGUGACAGUCUAAAUAAAGACAAUUUUAAAUGUCUCUGUGGUACACACAAUAACCUUCCACUUCAUAAAAAGAGAGAAACCUUCAACUUUUCUUAAAUCCAAUUUAUGAGAAUGUCUUUGAACCGAUUUCCUCCUGACUAACAUAGUAGCCCUCUAUAGUGGAAUAACUGUAUCAGGACUGUUGCUGGACAAGGAAGAGUUACAGACAUCAUCUAACUGGGCCUCUGUAAAACUCUUGAUAGAUGGACUGUAGGAUGGAGAAGGAAGUGCCUGGGUGGCCAUAUCCAGAGUUACAGCGAAUGAUUCAAUGUCCAGGUGGAAACCAGUAAUGAGGGGUGUCCCUCAAGGGACUAAUCCUAUUUAAUGGCAUUAUCAAUGACAGAGACAGUGGGAGUGAGUACGCUAUCAGGAAGUGGACAGAUUACACCAAACUGAGUGAUGAAGUUGAUGUUGAUGCUUGGGAGCAGGGGUGUCCACCUGGGGAGACCUUGACAGGCUUGAGGAGUGGUCCCAUGUGAACCUCAUGAAGCCGAACAAGACCAAGUGCAAGGUCCUGCACCCGGGUUGGGGAAAUCCUCACUAUUAACACAAGCACGGGAAUGAACGAACUCUGAGAGCAGAGAGAAAGGACUUGGGGAUACUGCUGGAUGAAGAAUUGGACAUGAGCCAGCCAUGGGCACUGGCAGCCCAGAAAACCAAGUGUGCAUCCAAGGCUGGAUCCAGCAGCCCUGUGGGCAGCAGGGAAGGGAGAGGAUUCUGCCACUCUGCCCUGCUCUGGUGAGACCCCACUCUGGGCUCCCAGCACAUGUUGGAUUGAGUCCCAGAGAAGGGCCCCAGAGCUGGCUGGAGCAUCUCUCCUGUGACGAAAGGCUGAGGGAGCUGAGGUUGUUCAGCCUGCAGAGACCUUGUCCAAACAACUGUAGGAAAAUGAAACUGCAGCAGUAGUCAUUUACAAUUUGCAGGCCCCCUAUUUCUUGAGGUAAUAAAGUGAAUGUAUGUAUUUAAGUAUAAGCUGCACCUUUGUGCUGAAGUGCAGCACAGGACUGUUACCACAGGUGAAAAAUGAGAGAAUGUAUCUGCCCCAGCAGUGUAAGCCAGCUCACUGGUAUGCUGAGAGCACUUCAAGCAGCUGCUGAAGAGCUUUUGCAGCUACAGAUACUCCCUGGCCCCUGUGGCUGAACACCUGUAGCUAGUGGAGAAAGAAACUUUGGCUAAUACACAAUCAGUCUUCAUGAAAAGGGAGAGUAAGGCACUCUCAAACUAACCUGCCUCAUAGGGGAUAAAGACAUACAAGAGAGGCAGACAAACAGUAACUAGUUAGGAUUCUCAAGGGACCUGGCUGUAACCGCUCUAAAUUAUGGCAUAAGGAAAUACAUGCCAUUAGAAAUCAGUAGGAAUUUGCCCUUUCUAUUUGCCAUAGGAAAAAAAAUAUAGCUAUGUUAAAAUCUGUCUCCUUCUCUGUAUAGGAGUAACUUACUGCUACAGCCUAGCUAUGACCUUUCCUUUUCCUCCCAUUGUGCCUUCUGCUGCUGAGUGCCUAUUCCAGAAGCAAACACAAGAUUUGUACGUGCUGGAUGGGGAAUUCACUGACUAAGCUUGCUGGCUAGUCACUCAAUUGGAGAUUAUUACCACUUGUUUAGUUUUUAAGACAAUGUUCAGAUGAUGAUCAGAUUAAUAUUCCAUGGCACUUAAAUGUUUGAUACAUGUACAUGUCAAUUUCUGAUUGUCAAUCAAUAAACAUAAGAACAUACACAAGAAUAAGCCAGAACCUACUGAACAAUAUAAAGUGGCAGCAGCUCUAAUUCAGUAAUUUGACAGUUGAACAAGGUGAUUAUACUGAAGAUUCACUCUGAAAACUUUUAAGCAGAAUUUGCCCACCAAGACAAGUCUUCUAGCGAUUGGCUCAUACAUUCAAAUGUUAGUUGUAAGAUCGAUGUUUUCAGAAGUGCUUUCAUUGGGGCAAUUCUAUAGCUCACUGUGAAAACUUUUCUGUAGGACUACAGUUUAAAUAAAGGCAUGACAAAAGUCUAUUUUGUUAAUUGUAAUAUUAAGUAGAAUAAUAUUGUCCUCACUCCGGAGAAUAUAAUUACUGGAGGAAAGCAUUUCUUAUAAUUGGCAGUUUGCUGUGCCGUGUAUUUAAACAACAUUUUGUAGGAACAUUUAUCUUUCAGAACAAAGGCCAAUCUGGAGAACCCCAAGUAAGUAAAAGCAUAGACAGAAAAGUUUAGAUAAUAGUUUUACAGAUAUUUGCUACAGAGGGACUAGCCUUCUCUAUUUAUGGAUUGCUAAUCACAAAGAAAAUUCGCCCUUAAGAAGAAUGACUUCCCUUUUUGUGUUUGGUUUGAGCAAUUAAUAUUUUAAUAUUAGAAGGUCACUCAUUAAUGUACUUAGUUUUGUGCUACAUAACAGUAAAUUGCUUACUGGAGAAAUUUCAAUCAAGAGAAAAAAAUGGGAAAGCAUGAACCCACAAGACCUUAUGUCUUGGGUUCCAACAUAUAACAGAGGAAAAACUAAGAGAUGAUUUUCAGGACAAAUAGUCUAAACUUGGACAUUAUGUAAUCCUGGAAUCCUAAAGGUAUAAUUAGAACUGUAAAGCUUUUUAUAUUUUUAUAAUUUUAUUUUUGGUGUAGUUAAAUAUCCAUGCAUUAGCUAAUUAGAUCAGAGAGCUUGAAGUGAUGAAGCAUGUGGUGAGUAGUCUGGUUCAUGUUAAGGUUCACAUUUCUAAGAGAAAACAAAUGGAAAAAGAAAAACACUAAUGUCAGAAAAGAAAUCCCAACUCUGGAUCACAGGAUCAAAAGCCACAUUAUUUUUAGUUAAUCUUAUCUUGUCAAUAUAAAGGAAAGGGAUAGUUGAAUGGAAUGUGUCCAAGUUUCCUGUGCUGGAACUGAAAUGAGAAAGAAAAUGAGAUAUGAGAAUACCUUGAAUAUUCAUGAAAAAUGUCUUUGAGUUUAGUCCAGAGAAUGAGUCAUUUUGAGUUAUGCUCAAGUCCUGACAUCAGAAGAGGUCUGAACUUGCACCCUGAAUUUUCAGCUUUCUAAAAGAAGGGUGUUUUUUCCACAAAAGACAGAUGUCUACAUCUUUAAACAACACUGUUGCUUCCCUUGGGAGAUAGAAGGGAUAGAGACAUCCUAAAGGUGAAGUUCAGUUGAUGUGCUUUGGUUACCCAAGUCUCUUAAGCCAGGAAGACUUUUAAACAGAUCUUGCUUUACAACAAGAGAUGUCUUUAGGUAAAAACACAGAGUAAAAAAUUUUCUCUUGGAUUACUCAAAAGAAUUGCAAAGGGUGGAGAAGCUGGUAUCUAAUUGAUGGGCAAGGGAAGCUCUUGAGGAAAGGUUGAGAUAAAAGUCAGCUGUAGCUACCAAAGGUCAGGACACAAGUGACAGAAUCUUCGGAGAAAUUAGAAUCUAGUCAUUGCAUCUAAAAUAUUGCCUGUGAUAAACAGAAAAAUUACUUAUGGUGACCAAACCUACUCUGAUAAGAGCAGACAGGCAGUCAUCUGCAUGAUAAUGUUCCACCACAGAGCAAACAGUAAUGGUAAACACUUCACAGUGAACACACUAAAACUGAAUUUAUAUAAUAAAAGUGGACAGUUUUUGCUCAUGUGGUCAUUUCCAAAAGUGGAAAAAAUAUAAAAUUUUAUAUUAAAAGAUGUGUUAAAUAUGUUAAAAUGUGUUAAAAUCCAUCUUUCUUCAUCUGUGUAUAGGAGUAGCUUACUGCUACAAACAGCAAGAAUAGUAUGGACUUCGUAUGAGCUCUAAACUCAGUAGAAUUAGCAAUGUUACUGAACAAAUUUUUAAUGUAUUCUUCCAAAAGAAGCAAAUCUCUGUUCCUCAAAUUUUUCUCAUGAUCAGAAGUGACUUCUUUACCAAGGAAGCAACUAUGUGAGUGUGUGGGCUUGAUAAACUUUUCCCCUCCAUUUGUUUUUAUGUAGAAUAAAUGAACUAACACUCCUGAUACCUGUACUUGCAAUUUUCUUGGAGGAAGAGUUAAAAAUUUUAUAUGGGGAAUGAAGCGGUACAUUUCAGUUUUGUCCAGAUUAUGACAUUUUAUGUGAAAAUCUUUAUACUUUGUUUUUGCAUGCUUACGCUACAGUGCAUACUAAAAGAAACAUUUCCAUAUUAAGUCUUAAUUUCUAUAAAAUUUGAGUAAAUAUGGCAGAUAAUACAGAGUGCUGUUAGGACAUGGUUUUGUACACUCUGUGUGAGAUUCAGCUCAGCCAUCUGAAGCUGGGUUGAACAUAUCAUAUGGGGUAAUUAUUCUAACUUAUUUUAGGAUUUAAGAAUAAUUGGCUGCUAGAGUUACCUGAUUCACUCAUGACCAUCUUUGCAUUCUUUCUUUCUGAAAGUCUGCAUCAUAGUUCACCAAUAGCGACAGUAUUUGCAUUCCUUAUGUAAAGUUCAAAAUAACCAUUAUUUCUCUGUCUACACAGUAUUCUGGGAAAAAUCAUGAAGGCUGCCUUAAUGAAAAGCUGAUGAUUAUAACUACAUCACUGAAGCAAGUUUUGAGAAAGAAUAGUUAAAAUCAAGUUGUUUCCUUUAAAGCUUUUUGAAAGCUUGGUUUUGAGUAGUGUCCAAGCUUCCUUAAUUUACACAAUUCAUUUACUGAAGUUAAUAUAAAAAAUUAUAUUAUUUACAGGGACAUUUACUGUGGAGGGGUGUAUUAGGAAGCUAAUACAACAACCAAAUCAAUUCUAAUUAUAUAGAUAGGGAAUCUAUAUAAUUAGAAUUGAUUUGGUUGUUGAGAAAUGGUAGGACUUUAGGAAAAAAUAUUUAAUUUUAGAUAAAAUGACAUUUUAAUAACACUUCUUGUGCAGUAGAAGCCAGCUGAGUUAAUAAAUUUUCUGAGAAAAAAUAAGAGAGUUAGAGUUAGACUUUAGAUAUUGGUAUUGCUAAAUUCAGCACUAUGGGAAAGACCACACAAAAGGUCACAUCUGAAACCACUUUAAAUAUUCCUGGCAUGUUACUAAAAUUACACAUGAUAAUCUUAUUUUAUAAGCAAAAUAGGUAUUUUUCUAAUUGAAAACCAGUGUAUUUCAGCUCAAGUAAGAUAUCUACUGUCCUGCUCUCACGUUUCAUAUUUUUAUGGAAGAUAAACUGCAGGAAUUUUAGUAAUGAUUCAGAAAUAAAUACUUCUAAGUAGCUACUCAAUUACUUACUUAAAAGGGAUAUAUGUUCUGACAUGCCCAUCAGUCUAGACCAUGAAGUGGCGACAGUGUUUCCACAUUCACAGGUGUAGAUUUUUUGAGGCACUGGUCGGUCACAAAUAGUGCUGAUCAACUUGUAAAUUCCAGCACCACGACAGUGACAGAAGCUCUUAUGCAGAAUAAAAGUCACUAAUUAAAAUCAGUUCUGGAACUGAUGAAAACUGCAGUGGGGUGCUGCAGGAGUAUUUGAGAGAGAUGUAUAUUUCUUCAGAAAUAUAUCUGAAUUCUGUCAUUUGCAAUAAUUUCAAGAUCUGUUUGUAUAAUUUAAUGGAGUGGUAGAGCUCUUAAGCAGAAUGUACAGACAACCUUAUAAAACAUUAUUUGCAAAGAAAAACACAUAUUAAAAAAUCUGAAGGUUGCCUGUGCAGUAUUAAUAAUUUGAUUUUUACAUUUGUUUCAUUCCAUUAUGCAGUGAAUCAGUGCUUGUUCAUAAAAUCAUGAUAUCUUCUCUGCAGGGAUCAAGAAUCAAUCAGUGAACGACAUCUACUGAAAAUAUGCAAACAUGGUGUGUUUUAGUUUUGCUCUCUGUGAAGAAUGCAUUGUUCUGUUUGUUCUCAAUAGGUAUACUGUGAGUUUUAUUUGAAGCCACUUAAUCCAUGUUUCCAGAGAGACAGAAAAGCAUUCUCUAGAAAUCCUUUCUGAUCUGAAAUGCCCUGUCAGUCAUAUUUUUUCCCAGGAUGAACUGUCCUAGUUGAGCUAGUCAGUCCCAAUAUGAAAGAUGUACCAAGUCUUUCACAGUCGUCUGAGUUCUUCUUUGAUUUUUGCUCUUUGCCUUUUGAGACAGAGGCACUGCCACUGUGCCUAAUCUUACAAAAAGAGGGGUACAUUAUUUGAACAUUGAAGUAGACUGUAUCAGCAGGACCUGUCUAAUGCACAUGAUUUUUAACUCCUUCAAAGAAUGCCACUGGAUUUGUGUGUGAAGUCAUAAAAUACCCAUACAGAUUCUUUCCCAGUCAAGAUAAUUUAUCCAUACUACCAUUAAUUUUAAUUUUUUUGGAUGGUUUCCACCAACUUGUCCUGUGAAGAAUUCAGGUUUACUGCUCUUUAGUUCCUCUUCUGCAGCUCUUUUGGAAGUCUUUCAAAGUCAGUGUCAUAUUGACCAUUUUGCAGUUGAACAAAGAGAAAAAAAUUAUAAAAGUCGUCUUUGAAAUCUAAGGAAGUAAGGGAGCCCAAUCUUGCAGAACUUGAUAGUCCAAGUAGAAUUGCUAGUGAAUCUCUAUUAAGCAAUAUUGUCACUACUGCAUAUUUAUUUGAUAGUGCAAUAGGAUAGAAUUAAUAAGUACAUAUUCCAAGUCCAUUUGAUAAACUCGAAUGUGAUAAUGUCAAACUGCUGAAUUUAAAUAUUUGUAACUUUUAGAGUGGUCAAACUACUUUGAAAAAUGUAAUUUAAUAUUUAUAUCACAUUUGUUUAAUUUUCUAAUUUGUUUAAUUGUAAUCUUAGAUUUCUGUUCCUGGUCAGUUUUAGUUAUCUGAAUAUUUUAUCCAAUGUAUUUUUCUGAAGUGUUUGUGAAGUUAAAUAAAAACACCUUCUGACUA